UUUUUAACAGUGAUGUGUAGUACUUCAUGUACUUCAUGAACACAAACUUUAUCUUCACUGUUCUCAACAAAAAGUUAAUUUCUACUCAUUUUGCAGUAAAACUGGUGGUUGGUGAAAGAGGUGAGUUUUACACACAUAGAAGGUUUUGCAGACAACACCGUCACUCACAACAGGCCUGUGUGUGGCUUUCAGUUCUCAGUUUAGUGUUUCGUUUUUUCUGUCAAGCAGACUGAACGUGUCAUUUAUCACGUAUGCCUCGGUGCAGAGCACAUCAACAGGAAGUCACGUGGGGAAGCCAUGACCACACAUGUACCUCUUCUGAGGCAGUGAUAAGGUGAUUGGUUUAUUUCAUUCAGAGGAUGAUCUGAUUGGCCAGUUCUGUGUGUGGGAGUUGUGUAGUUUGUAUUUGACAGUUGUACUUCAAGACCACAAACUUUAUAUCCACUGUUCUGAACAAAAAGUUUGUUUUACUCAUUUUGGACUAAAACUGGUGGUUUGUGAAAGAGAGGGACCUGGACACUGGAACUGCUGGAAAAAGAGGAUACUAAAGAGAAGAGUAGACCUCAGCCACCCAAGAACGGUGAGAAAAAUGACCUUCACCACAGCUCCAACUUGCAAUAUA
ensembl:lncRNA